UACGUAGGGGGCGAGCGUUGUCCGGAUUUAUUGGGCGUAAAGAGCUCGUAGGCGGCUUGGCAAGUCGGUCGUGAAAAUCCGAGGCUCAACCUCGGACAGCCGGUCGAAACUGCCAUGGCUAGGGUCCGGUAGAGGAGAGUGGAAUUCCCGGUGUAGCGGUGAAAUGCGCAGAUAUCGGGAGGAACACCAGUAGCGAAGGCGGCUCUCUGGGCCGGUACCGACGCUGAGGAGCGAAAGCGUGGGGAGCAAACAGGAUUAGAUACCCUCGUA
rnacentral:rRNA from 1 species